rnacentral:rRNA from 1 species
CAGCAGCCGCGGGAAUACGGAGGGUGCAAGCGUUAAUCGGAAUUACUGGGCGUAAAGCGUGCGUAGGCGGUUCGUUAAGUCUGUUGUGAAAGCCCCGGGCUCAACCUGGGAAUGGCAAUGGAUACUGGCGAGCUAGAGUGUGUCAGAGGAUGGUGGAAUUCCCGGUGUAGCGGUGAAAUGCGUAGAGAUCGGGAGGAACAUCAGUGGCGAAGGCGGCCAUCUGGGACAACACUGACGCUGAGGCACGAAAGCGUGGGGAGCAAACAGGAUUAGAUACCCCGGUAGUCCCUGUCUCUUAUAA